rnacentral:rRNA from 1 species
GACGAACGCUGGCGGCGUGCUUAACACAUGCAAGUCGUACGGUAAGGCCCUUUCGGGGGUACACGAGUGGCGAACGGGCGAGUAACACGUGAGUAACCUGCCCACAACUUUGGGAUAACGCUAGGAAACUGGUGCUAAUACUGGAUAUGUGCUCCUGCUGCAUGGUGGGGGUUGGAAAGCUCCGGCGGUUGUGGAUGGACUCGCGGCCUAUCAGCUUGUUGGUGGGGUAGUGGCCUACCAAGGCGGCGACGGGUAGCCGGCCUGAGGGGGUGACCGGCCACAUUGGGACUGAGAGACGGCCCAGACUCCUACGGGAGGCAGCAGGGGGGAAUAUUGCACAAUGGGAGCAAGCCUGAUGCAGCAACGCCGCGUGCGGGAUAACGGCCUUCGGGUUGUAAACCGCUUUCAGCAGGGACGAAGCUUUUUGUGACGGUACCUGCAGAAGAAGCACCGGCUAACUACGUG